rnacentral:lncRNA from 1 species
CCCGAGCCCCCCACCCGGGCGCCGCCCCCUCCCCUUCCCCCUUCCCCCGCCCCCUCCGGGAAGGCGCCGGGCGUUCCCCUUUCCUCCUCAGGCCGCCUGCGGGGCAGCGCCGAGUGGCGACGGGUGCGCCACCUCGACACAGCGUCGCCACCUAGUGACAGCGGGAUGCGCUGCGGCGUCCGGACGCGGAGCCGCCCGCCCUUAGGGGCUCGGCCGGUCGGGCCUGCCCUCCCGAAGUGCCAGCGCAGGGGACCGGGCAGGAGAGGACAGCCCCGGAGAGCCGUGCAGACGCAGCGGACGCAGCGGACACGUGCCCCGGCCGCAUCGUUCGCGGGGGCACGAGACUCGGCCCCUGCUUUUAGACGCCCCUGAACUUCACGACGGGUUUCUCGCAUCCCCGGGCUGGCUGCGUGGAGGGAAGCUGCUACCGGGCAGAGAACCCGGUGCGAACUCAGCUUGGGCCGCUCGCUGCUGGAUGAGGGGUGGAGGGAAAGGGAAGGUCGCUUUAUUCUGGAAGCUGGCAGCCGGGCCGCCGCUGGACGAACGUCUCAGCACCUUCGCCAUCCCCUGAGGGGUGAAGCCGGGGGGUUGCAGGGGAGGGAAGGCGGCUGCACGCUGGAGAGGAGGUGGCCUGGUCCUUAGUCCCAUGUUGUCGGCAUGACCCCGAGCAGACUUGCUGGUAGCUGCGGCCGCUGAUCUUACCUUCCGAGGUGGUCUGGAGCUUCACACCGCCCCCCCCCCCCCCCCCCCCGCCCCAAGGCCUGCAAAUCUCAAAGUUCUGCGGCAGACCAAGGGACUUCGGUCCGCAAGCACCGAGGGCAUAAGCUUGAAGCGAGGUAACCCUUAGGACUGGUUGGCAUGCUGAUACAAAAUCACCCACACCCUUUAAGGGAACAGCUGCAUUCCAAGCACUGUCCUCCCAAGGGCUGAUGACCCCCUUCCCUGCGUGAACUUGAACUGAGAGAGAAAGAAAGUUCUCAAUAGGCACCACUCAAUAAGCCCUGCAGAGAGAGAGCCUUGGCCUGACUGCUGGGGUUCCUCAGAUUUAGAAUAUGGGGUAUUCAGCACCUCUUACCCACAGCUUUGGACCUUCGCUGCCAUUCUUGGGCAACAGGAGAAACCCCCCACCCAUAUGGGAGAAGUGCAAGUAGAUGCAAAGAAUAGAUGCAAACUGAGGACAGAAAGGGCAGUCAGAGCUGCCAUGGAUGUUUGUGCAAGUUGCUCACUGCACAAGGGCACCUGGUGGGGGGUGAGGGGUGAGGGAUGGGUACCCGGUGCUGGGAUCUGGAUCUCAGCCCUUACCUGACCACAAAGCCCCGCAGCCUGGCAAGGGCUGUGGCUGCCCAGAGGAGGGUGAGGACGCUUCAGAUCA